rnacentral:rRNA from 1 species
GCCAGGGAACUACGAGCAAAGCUUAAAACCCAAAGGACUUGACGGUGCCCCAUAUCCCCCUAGAGGAGCCUGUCCUAUAAUCGAUAAUCCCCGCUCUACCUCACCACUUCUAGCUUUUUCAGCCUGUAUACUUCCGUCGUCAGCCUACCGCAUGAGCGAAAUUUAGUUAGCCUAAUGACCAUACUUUAGUUUUGUAUCGUCAAUACGUCAGGUCAAAGUGCAGCAAAUGAUGUGGAAAGAGAUUGGCUACACUCUUUAGCAUAAAAUAAACGGAACACAAAAUGAAACUCUGUGCAAAGGUGGAUUUAGAAGUAAAAAGAAAUCAUAAUAUUCAUUUUAACAAGGCACUGGGACGUGU